UCUCAGAGUCAAAGACCCAGUGCUGUCCGGUUUGUCGGAACGCGCGGCGGCGUUCCCCUUUCUCCUAUGGCGGCGGCGGCGGCGGCGAUGGAUCCCGGAGAAGCGUCGGCGGCGUAAUGCGAGGCGGGCAGGCAGUCGCCAUGGUCCGCAGGAUGUCCAGCGAUCGCCAGUCGGCGUCAGAGGUGGCAGCUGGCCGCCGGUUCCGCUCCAGGUUGCAGCACCUCAGCGCCAGUCGCAUGAGCCGCUCCGCCUGCACCUCUGGCCAGGUGCCAGCGGAGGCGUCCAGCAGGCCGUGCACGGCGUCCAUCUUCAUCGCCUCCUGCACCUGCUCGACGAUGUUGAGGUCGAGCAGCCCCGUGAGGACCUGCAGGAUCACCACGCCGAACGCGUAGACGUCCGACUCUGCAGUGAGCUCGCCUGUCGUGAAGAAGACGGGGUCCAUGUACCCCAUCGUGCCCAUCGGGUUCGUCCGCCGGCAGAUGGUGUCCUCCUCCAGCGGCUUCAUCUGCACUACGCGCGCCGUCCCGAAGUCUCCUAGCCGGCUCACGUUCCCGGCAUCGAGGAGGAUGUUCGUCAGCUUCAGGUCCGCGUGGAUGAUGGCAUGGGGUCGGCUCGAGUGGAGGUGCGCCAGCGCGGAACGCUGUUCGCUGAGGAUCCUGAUACGGUCCUUCCAUGGAAGCCCCUUGGAGAGCCCGUCCAUGAGUGUGCCGUUGGGGAGGUACUCGUAGACGAGGCCGCAUGAUUCCGGGCACACGCCGAUCAGCUUCACGAUGUGUGGGUGCUUGACUCUGCUCAGCACAACGACCUGGGGAAUUCCAAACAUGAUCGACAUUUCCUCCGGUUACUAUAUGUAAUGCAGCUCAGAAGAUUCUUCUCCAAGUAGUAAGGUUUACAACACCAGUAAGAAUGUCAUCAUGUGUAAGUAUGUUAAUGCACAUCAAGACAUCUCCUGUCAAGCUGUCAACAGCAUAUACCAGCAUGAUAACUAGAAUAUGCGAAGAUUGGGGUUGCAGCUUGCAUGCAUUGGAGGCUCCAUUUGACUCAUUUGGAGGGAAGUGCUUGUCGAGACGAAUUUGCUGAGCUAUCUGCAUAGCCAUUCUUGGAUUGCAGAACGGAGGGCAUGGUUUGGCAAAAGAUCACGGUGGAGUAGCUCAAGAUUUGUCAUGGGUGAUGUAUGGUGGCCACUGUCAAUCCACUCCCUUAUAGCUUCGGCUUCAUAGCCUGGCGUGUGGUUUGUGUAGCCAUGUGCUUGAAACACACCACGUCUCCGACAAGCUAGUCGACCUAUCCACUGAAAACUGUUGAGCAGCAGACUCUUGCGUACCUUCCGGCGUUGCUUCAUGGCCAAGGGGCACGGCAUUCCUAGUGUGGAGAAAGCAGAGAGGGAGGGAAACAUGUCAAAUGCAGGCUGGAGUUCAGCUACAAUGUAAUCAAUCCUAUGAACAAAACUGAAGAUCAUCUGCAGUCGACCAACCGAACCAUACCUACGAGUAAGGAAUUGCCCAACAGUGCCACUGCAAUUUCCAUGGCAUGGCAUGGCAUCGACAUGGCAGGAGCUACCUGCUCAACAGUGCUUGCCUUUCUCAUGGACGACUGAAUGACUUAUACAAGACCUCUCUGCUCCGUAUAGCUGCUAAUUAAACUCCUCUCUGCUUCCCUCCUCUGUAAGUCUUCUUCUCUGCUCCUCUCCUCUGGUUUCGUGGUCAGCUUCUGGUUGCGCACCACCUGUUUGUUCGAAUGCCCAGCCAAUGUUCUCGCUCAGCUCAAGGAAGAUAGAUAGGUAUCUUACAGUAGACCCUUAAGUGGCUGUUUGGCAUGCAAGUUCCUAAUCUUCUGUUGGAAGCCGUUCGUUCUUAAUCUUUCUUUGCCUUCCUUCUACGAAAACAAUACGCUCUUCCUUACAAAGUUAGCGCUAGUGGAUUGGGGCUAAAUUGUACUAGGUGAGUAAGACCAGCUAAAUGACUUUGCCUAUGAAGUUUCCGCCGACCUGGCACGAGUAGUACCGAUAAUAAUGUACCUAUUAUCUCCUGAAAAAUGAUGGCAGCUUACCUUGAAUUAUCAACUCAUGCCUGUAUAUGCAGUAAGAAUGGAACGUGCAUAGCUAAUUUAUGGGUAAUCACAUUAUUAUAAGCCGUCUGUGCUCUGAUUUAUCUGAUUGCUCAUUUACUGUAAAUUGUUUUGGGACCAUGCUGAUUUGAUUUAACUCCCAACUUUGCAUAACUGAGAGGGAAUUAAAAUGGUCAUACACAUGACAUCACUUUUCAAUGAACCUAAAAAUAGCUACUCUCUCCUGGAGAGUUACAUGCCAUGUCAGUUCAUCCCAAACACAUGAGACCGAAAACAUGUACAUCACUUCUCGGCCUUGGGCCCAAACAUUGAGAAAGCGCUAACUGCUAAAGUGGGGGAAAAUAAAUUCUCUACACAGACUAUACACACUUGCAAACCAUGGAAGGUUAAAAAAUCACGGUUGCUGUUGCAUUUGCCAUUCUUGAAUUGCAAAACGAAGGGCAUUGUUCGGCAUUAACUCAUGGUGUGUGAAGCUGAGGUAGGUCAUGGGGGACAUUUAUGCCCCCUUUGAAGCCAGUCCUUGAUGGCCUCACCUUCAUAUGUGAAUCCAUCGGCAGCAAUGUGUGGAUCCCUCAUGAUCUCCUGAAAAUGUUACAAAGAUGCAAGAUUAGCAAACUAAAGAUGAAAAACGUUGGUGGCUUGCAUUUAUCGUCUGGACAGUUCAUCAUAGCUUGCAGGAUACCCCAGGCUUCAUUUGCAAGAUUAGGCCGUUCCUUCCGUUCAUACCGGCAACAUCUGAGUGCUAAUCUUGCCAACUCUUCAGUGUAUUCAGUUGGCCAUUCCCCUGCAGAAGUAUCAAUUAUAUCUUGCAACAUGUCAUUGCUCAAGGCUGCCUCCACCUCAUUCGGAAGGCCUAGGGGGCUCUUGCCAGUUAGCAACCGCAUCAGAACUACACCAAAGGAGUAGACG